rnacentral:ncRNA from 1 species
UAGAAUUAACGGCAGACGCAUCGAAAGAUGCAGACGCAAAGCCAUUGGGUCUACGGCUUAUAAUUCAGGCUAUGACAGCCGGUUGCAGAA